UGAGCUCCAGUCUUUCACAGGAUGUCCAUGCUCGCUACGGGGGCAUUCAAAGGCCUGCUCUCUCCCAGAGACGUUUUCCGUAUGGCAAUUACUCUAAUGCCGGACUACAAACAUGUCAAGCCACACAGGAUCUCUCAUUGAUUGCCGCAAAUGCUUCACCAGUGUUUGUGCAAGCUCCACAAGAGAAAGGACUUGCAGCGUUUGCCACUGACUUCCUCAUGGGUGGUGUUUCUGCUGCUGUGUCAAAGACUGCUGCUGCCCCUAUUGAGCGUGUG
rnacentral:lncRNA from 1 species